AGAGAGAAAAAGAAAAAGACGCGCACGCCAAGCCGAGGUAGAAAGUGCCGAUACUUGUCUCGCGAUAAUUUGAUAUUCCGCCGGCGCCAUUCACUUCUCCGACGUCGGAAAUAGCGUUGACGCGCGUUGUACCGCCUAUCGGGAAAUGCAAAAGCAUUCCGCCGGCCGCGCGAUGAGUCUCUCGCCCGUUCUCGAAUCGUCAAGCCGAAUUAUCGGCUUGUGCUUGCAAUUCGCGUCGCAUCGCUUUUUUCGUUCCUCUCUUUCUCUCACGAGAACCUCUCACGAGAAGCCAGAUCGUUACCGAUGAUGUCAGCGAACGAAAGUAUCGGCGCGCAUUUUUUCCUUUCGAAUGGUCGUCGAGAGACGGCGCGGAGGCGGAGGUUGAAUGCGAGCCGUUGUAACGCGAAUUUCGUCGAUGAUCUAAUAUAACCAGCGAUGAUCGAACGGCUUUGACGACUCUCAGCGGCGGGCGCGAUUAACGAGCGUGGGCGUGAGACUCGCGCCAGAAAGCUGCGAACGAACGCGUCUCCGCGAGAGCGAAACAAGCGACAACUGGCUGACAAAGCGAGCCAAAAUCCACGCGCGUCGGCGGAUCUCAAAGAUCCUAGCUCGGAUCAGCGCCGAGCGAAGAUUCACGAGAGCGAAGCUCACGUUGUUCACAAGAUACGCCCGAGGAAUUUAAGCUUCGUGCGCCUUGAAAUUGCGGCUCUGACUUCGCACUUGAAUCUGCGCCUUGGCGCGUUAAGUUUACACAACAACAGCCGAAAUUCUAUGCGAAUGCUAAGGGAAUCCGCUUCGUGGCCUCGUGACAUUUUCGACGGCCUUCGCGAGAGACUUUUCAACGCGUCGACGACGCUCUAGCAAGCACGCGAAACUCCUCCGACGCGACCGCGAGGACACGUCCGCGGCGGCGGCGGCGGCGGCGGCGGCGGCGGCGAUGGUCCUAGUCUAUGAAUCAUGGUCGGCGUAUCAUUCGUUUCUGGCUGCAUUCGUUUCCGCUAAACGUCGCGCAGUCCGACGUCCAAAGUCAAGCGACGACGAAUGGAUUAAUCACGUCAUCUGGGAAUUCUGCGUUAUCAGUGCCAUUAGCAUAUCGCCGCGCACGUGACAUUGACGUCUGUCACGCACCAAGAGCGGUGUAUCCUGAAAAUUCGUUGAUCAUUAAGUAAAGCUGACUCGGAGCUGACGCUCGAGUGUUUAAUUAUUAUCGAACGGAAUCACCGAAAUUUGGAAAUUCCGCGUUAUCACCGCGCACGUGACACUAACUUGUCUAUCGUGCACCAAAUACGGUGUAUCCUGAAAAUUCGUCGAUCAUUAAGUAAAGCUGAGGACGUUCGAGUGUAAUUAUUAUCGAGCGGAAUCGCCGAGCGGGGCGGCGAGCGUCGCCAAGUCCGCGUCGACUAAUCUAGAUUGUCGGGUAAUAACCGGUUAUCGAAAUCCGGGUGACACCAAAUUCCCGGCGUCGCCGAGGUCACGGAGAAUACACUCUACACUUCCUAACUGCGUUGCAGAUCAACGUUGAGAGAGAGAAAGAGAGAGAGGGAGGGAGAGGGGGAGAGAGAGAGAGAGAGAGAGAGACAUUCGCGCGCGUCUACUACACGAGAAGCCCGAACUUCGACCUCGUCACAUCAGUGAGUAGCCCCACUUUCGAUACUGCGGACAUAUCAAAGACUACAAACAACAUCGAUAUAACAAAGAGUGCCGCUUCAUUUCCUAGCCUAAUGAAACCGGCAACGAACAAUAACGAAACGACCGUUAUCCUUAUCAAAAUCGACCGUCCGAGAACUCGACGUGCAUACCGACGUGCAGCACACACCCAUACGGCAGAGAUCGGAAAAAAAAAAAAAGAGGAAAGCGAAGGACAUUCUCGCACGUCAACGGCGAUAAUAAGAAUUCAGCCGCUCACGUUCACGUCGCUCACGGAUCCUCGCGGCUGCCUCUGAGCGGAGCUCGCGAGUCAACGAGGACGCGACGACAAUUAUCGCGCGCGCUCUUCUCUCUCGCUCGCCACGCAGAAUCCGCGACGGCGAGCGCGAUCUCUCGCGAUUUCGAUCUGUGCACCGCCUUCGCGUCUCGCCGCACCGCGCGAGCGUCUCCUGGUACCGCGGCCGUGCUGAGCCGAGCCGUGCCGUGCCGUGCCGUGACGCGCCGCGGCGCGCCGCAGCGCGUCGACAAGCCGCUCGCGAUGUUGCGACGACCCGCGCGCGUUCGCUUCGCCCGUUCGCUCGCUCGCGCAGCAAGAUGGGUGUGCCGUAUGCGUGCGUAUGCGUACGUGCGUGCGUGCGUGCGUGUGCGAGAACGAACUUCCUGCAGCGCGUUGGUUGGUAAUGCGACGACGACGACGAACAGGGCUAACUCGAAUGGGAAAGGUCGGUACAGCCGCGAGUACAACUGCACCCGGCAUAGACUGUCUAGCGUAGCGGCGGAGACCGGAGGCCAGGUAGUUGGACGCACUAGGUGCCGCGCUGCUCCAAAUGCAGCCAUGCGUUAUCGCGCGUACGCUGCUUUCCUUUCGAAUAGCACGGCCUUUUGCUUUCUUCGUGACUCGCCGCAGGGCUGUUGGGUUCGGGCCUCCGCACGCGUGCAUCCAGGACCGACUACGGGGACCUUCGCACCCCGUGCAACUUGAUCUUCGAAAAUCUGGUGUAUGGUCUCAGCGUGAACCUCGGCUGUGAAGUUACAUGUGAAACACCUCGCGAUGAAUAAUGCUUCGCUCGAUAGUUUUGCCGAAGGAGAAGGAAAGCCGAGAAGAAGGAAGUUACGAGAGGAGUCGGAAUCUUUCGAAAACAAUAUGACAUAAACGAGGCGUUAUAUCGCGCGAAACUGCAUGCGAUUUAAAGUUGGACGGACGACGAAUGUAUUACAAAUCAAUCAAGAUCAAUGCGCUCUAAGAAGAUUAGUAUUAAUUAUUGUUAAUAUUUAAAUCAAUUAAAAUGGGACAUAUUACGUUUGCUACCUCUCUGACGAAUAAUAACUUGAUGGACUAUUAACUUCGUCAUAUUGAGAGAGCUCGUUACAGAGCAUCGAUAAGAGCAAUCUGUUGCUGUAGUCACUACCACAAACGUAACGCAGCAUUCGUUUGAGUCGGCGGCACGUCCCCGAAUUCUAAUUCUAAGAGACGCGACGUCACCGGACGUCAAAUUUUCGGAACAAUACACAGCCAGCGCACGUGGUUAUAUUUACGAGAUACACGUAAGGUUAUUUUCGCCGGACGGCACAACGGCCGUGAAUCCCGAGACGCCGCAAACCAGCCGAGCGCCAACAACUUCCUGGAAUAUUCCACGCUUUCUACCUGCGCGUCAGAACGACGAUUCAAGGCGCGCUUAACACCUGGUGGUAAACGUAUUGACUGAUGAAAACACCGCUCCAGCAUUGCCGGUUACAAGCAGAGAUACCACUCGAUGUUGAUUGCAUCGACAAUUUGACACGUCGUUGUAACCAUGCUUGCAUCCGACGCUCGUCACGCGAGUAGCAAAGCAACUUGACCCUGCGCCAAAUGCAAC